GAAGGAGAAGACAAAUGAUUAUAAAAAACAAAAGAAGAAAUAGGGUAAAUACAUGCAAGUUUACCUUUGCGAAAAGCAAUGAGAAAAUCUAAAAUAGGAUCAUGAUUAGUGGUAGUAACUGGAUCUUUCGAUGACGAAAAUGGUGGAGGAUCUAAGUAUGAAGUCUACAAUCUCCUUGAAUAAACAUAAACAACAAGGGGUCUAACUGAGACUGGGACAGUGACAGAAAGGAGGAUGAGGAGGAGGAG
rnacentral:misc_RNA from 1 species